rnacentral:rRNA from 1 species
UACGAAGGGGGCUAGCGUUGCUCGGAAUCACUGGGCGUAAAGGGCGCGUAGGCGGGGAGGUAAGUCGGGUGUGAAAUCCCUCGGCCCAACCGAGGAACUGCGCCCGAGACUGCUUCUCUUGAGUCCCGGAGAGGAAGGUGGAAUUCCCGGUGUAGCGGUGAAAUGCGUAGAUAUCGGAAGGAACACCUGUGGCGAAAGCGGCUCACUGGACCAUAACUGACGCUGAGGCGCGAAAGCUAGGGGAGCAAACAGG